ensembl:lncRNA
CCCUACAGGCAGCAGCAUCAGCUGGAGCUGGAGGCAGCCCACGUGCCUGGGGCUGUGCUGCCGGAGCUGGUGGAGGCAGAGCUGGUAAGGGGCAGAGCCCAGCGCACCCUCACCCUGUCCGACAAGGUUCUCCUCGGGGACAGGGCUCCCUGCAGUGCUGGGGCUGCCACUGUCCUGCACGAGCUCCGGCUGUGCAGCAGGGCCUGACCAGCACCCCUGCCCCGUCUUCACCUACAGGAGAAGAAGGAGCAGGCGAGGAGACGAGGGCUCGCCUUCUGGAUGAAGUGAGUAUCCCCUCAUUGCCCUGUGCCCAGCCAGCAGCAGCCGGGCUCCAGGCAGUGGGCUGAUGGCCUGGACCCCGCUGCAGCCGGCGGGGCUCCCGGGCGGCCCCUUUGGUGCUGUGUGGGGCUGUGCUGCCGUGGGGUCGGAACGCCUCAUUCCCAGCCCGGCCGUCUUUUG